rnacentral:rRNA from 1 species
AGUUUGAUCCUGGCUCAGAUUGAACGCUGGCGGCAUGCCUAACACAUGCAAGUCGAACGGAAACGAUGCUAGCUUGCUAGCAGGCGUCGAGUGGCGGACGGGUGAGUAAUGUAUAGGGAUCUGCCUAGUAGUGGGGGACAACGUGUGGAAACGCACGCUAAUACCGCAUACGCUCUACGGAGGAAAGUGGGGGACCUUUCGGGGCCUCACGCUACUAGAUGAACCUAUAUUGGAUUAGCUUGUUGGUAAGGUAAUGGCUUACCAAGGCGACGAUCCAUAGCUGGUUUGAGAGAAUGAUCAGCCACACUGGGACUGAGACACGGCCCAGACUCCUACGGGAGGCAGCAGUGGGGAAUAUUGCACAAUGGACGAAAGUCUGAUGCAGCAAUGCCGCGUGUGUGAAGAAGGCCUUAGGGUUGUAAAGCACUUUCAGACGUGAGGAAAAGUAAUAAUUUAAUAAAUUGUUACCUUGACGUUAACGUCAGAAGAAGGACCGGCUAACUCCGUGCCAGCAGCCGCGGUAAUACGGAGGGUCCAAGCGUUAAUCGGAAUUACUGGGCGUAAAGCGCGCGUAGGCGGAUAUUUAAGUCAGAUGUGAAAUCCCUGGGCUCAACCUAGGAACUGCAUUUGAUACUGGAUAUCUAGAGUAUGGUAGAGGUGAGUGGAAUUUCAGGUGUAGCGGUGAAAUGCGUAGAGAUCUGAAGGAACAUCAGUGGCGAAGGCGACUCACUGGGCCAUUACUGACGCUGAGGUGCGAAAGCGUGGGUAGCAAACAGGAUUAGAUACCCUGGUAGUCCACGCCCUAAACGAUGAAUGUUAGCC